rnacentral:rRNA from 1 species
UACGGAGGGUGCGAGCGUUAAUCGGAAUUACUGGGCGUAAAGCGCACGUAGGCGGAUUGUUAAGUCAGGGGUGAAAUCCCGAGGCUCAACCUCGGAACUGCCUUUGAUACUGGCAAUCUCGAGUCCGGAAGAGGUGAGUGGAAUUCCUAGUGUAGAGGUGAAAUUCGUAGAUAUUAGGAAGAACACCAGUGGCGAAGGCGGCUCACUGGUCCGGUACUGACGCUGAGGUGCGAAAGCGUGGGGAGCAAACAGG